UUCUUUUUUAAAUGGCCAGGUUCCUUGAGUUGGAUAUGGCGUGAUGGUGAUUGAACAAACAACUUUGGGAGACAACAGUGACUCUGUUGAUUAGCUUUGUUCUCUUCUCAUUGCAAUUUGAAGCACAACCAAUUUUCUCAGUCAAUGCCGACAAGCGACUUCUUGAUCUUUGUUCGGAUGUUAUAAAAGAAAUAGCAAUAUCUUGAUGAUCUUUAUUUGAUGGCUAAAGUUUGAAUAGCUUGGAAGUCUGAACAGAGUGUUGCCCAUUUGUUAUGGUAACAUAGAACGCUAUGGAAGCACUUCAUGAUAAGAAAUUAAUUGAAUAUGAAGAAAUCAUUCUCGUUAAUUUUUGUUUAUGUGAAAUCAAGAAGAUUUACAUGCAAGAAUAAAGGUGUAAAAGGGAAAUAGCAGUGCUGCUGUAUCAACUCCCUGAGGUUACAUGGCUAUGAAAAAGCACAUGCACAGCUAGCUGUAAAAUGUGAAUAAAUACUCAUAUUACCUGCCUUCAAGCGGAUGGUUGGUCAAGAUCAACCAUACCGAGCUUGGUAUGGAGUUUGCUGAAAGCAGUAAGUAAGACGGCCGUAGUGAAAGGAGCAAGUACAAGAACCUUAGUGAAAAGAUCAGCUGCUUGAUCUUUUACAGAAGUAUGCAGCUACUGCAUAAGGCCAGAUGACAAUUCUCCCACACAAUGACAGCUAGUUGUGAAUGGCACACGUAUUUUGAUUCAGUAUUUCUAGUGUAGUUGUUUAAUGUUGUGUAAAUUAUAGUAGUAGUGAAUUUGCUCAAUAUUCAAAGAAAAUUUGCAGCUUCGUUGAUAGAAUUGUAUCGUAGCUUGGUUGGUCAUGUAAUUAUGUUCUGUUAAGCUACCAUUUAUUUUUAAAA